rnacentral:rRNA from 1 species
GACGAACGCUGGCGGCGUGCUUAACACAUGCAAGUCGAACGGUGAAGCGCUUGCCUUUUUGGUGGGUGUGGAUGAGUGGCGAACGGGUGAGUAACACGUGAGUAACCUGCCCUCUUCUUCUGGAUAACCUCAUGAAAGUGGGGCUAAUACGGGGUAUUCCGGGUCUGUCGCAUGGCGGGUUUGGGAAAGAUUGCGCCUUUGGGUGUUUUCGGUGGGGGAUGGGCUCGCGGCCUAUCAGCUUGUUGGUGGGGUGAUGGCCUACCAAGGCGGUGACGGGUAGCCGGCCUGAGAGGGUGGACGGCCACACUGGGACUGAGACACGGCCCAGACUCCUGCGGGAGGCAGCAGUGGGGAAUAUUGCACAAUGGGCGCAAGCCUGAUGCAGCGACGCCGCGUGAGGGAUGGAGGCCUUCGGGUUGGGAACCUCUUUCGCCAGGGAAGCAGGCCUGCUCCUGUGUGGGUGGGUUGACGGUAGCUGGAUAAGAAGCGCCGGCUAACUACGUG